rnacentral:rRNA from 1 species
CCUACGGGUGGCUGCAGUGGGGAAUAUUGCACAAUGGGCGAAACCCUGAUGCAGCGACGCCGCGUGAAUGAAGAAGUAUUUCGGUAUGUAAAGCUCUUUCAGCCGGGAAGAAAAUGACGGUACCUUACCAAGAAGCACCGGCUAACUACGUGCCAGCAGCCGCGGUAAUACGUAGGGGGCCAGCGUUAUCCGGAUUUACUGGGUGUUAAGGGAGAGUAGAAGGCAGGGCAAGUCUGGAGUGAAAGGCGUGGGCUCAACCCCCGGACUGCACUUGAAACUGCCAGGCUGGAGUGCAGGAGAGGUAAGUGGAAUUCCUAGUGUAGCGGUGAAAUGCGUAGAUAUGAGGAGGAACACCAGUGGCGAAGGCGGCUUACUGGACUGUAACUGACGUUGAGGCUCGAAAGCGUGGGGAGCAAACAGGAUUAGAUACCCCGGUAGUC